rnacentral:rRNA from 1 species
GUACGCUGGCGGCACGCCUUAUACAUGCAAGUCGAACGAAGUAGCAAUACUUAGUGGCAGACGGGUGAGUAACAUGUGGGUAUCUUCCCUUUGGUGAGGAAUAACACGAGGAAACUUGUGCUAAUACCUCAUAAGUCUUUACGGAGAAAGCUUUAUGCGCCAAUGGAUGAGCCCGCACUUGAUUAGUUUGUUGGUGGGGUAACGGCCUACCAAGACUUUGAUCAAUAGCUGAUUUGAGAGGAUGAUCAGCCACAUUGGGACUGAGACACGGCCCAAA